CAUGCAGGCGGUUACAUAAGUCAGGUGUGAAAUCCCCGCGCUUAACGUGGGCAUUGCAUUUGAAACUAUGUAGCUAGAGUUCUGUAGAGGGGGGUAGAAUUCCAGGUGUAGCGGUGAAAUGCGUAGAGAUCUGGAGGAAUACCGAUUGCGAAGGCAGCCACCUGGACUGAUACUGACACUGAGGUGCGAAAGCGUGGGGAGCGAACAGGAUUAGAUACCCGAGUA
rnacentral:rRNA from 1 species